rnacentral:rRNA from 1 species
CCUACGGGUGGCAGCAGUCGGGAAUAUUGCGCAAUGGAGGAAACUCUGACGCAGUGACGCCGCGUGCAGGAAGAAGGUUUUCGGAUUGUAAACUGCUUUUGUCAGGGAAGAUAAAAGACAUUACCUGUAGAUUAAGCUCCGCCUAACUACGUGCCAGCAGCGGAGGUAAUACGUAGGGAGCAACCGUUAUCCGGAUAUAUUGGGUGUAAAGGGUGCGUAGGCGGAGAAGCAAGUCAGUUGUGAAAUCCCUCGGAUUAAAUGAGGAACUGCAUUUAAAACUACUUCCCUUGAGUGCUGGAGAGGAAAGUGGAAUUCCUGGUGUAGCGGUGAAAUGCGUAGAUAUUAGGAGGAACACUAGUGGCGAAGGCGACUUUCUGGACAGUAACUGACGUUGAGGCACGAAAGUGUGGGGAGCAAACAGGAUUAGAUACCCCAGUAGUC